rnacentral:rRNA from 1 species
CACGUAGGGUGCGAGCGUUGUCCGGAAUUAUUGGGCGUAAAGGGCUCGUAGGCGGUUUGUCGCGUCGGGAGUGAAAUCCACUGGCUUAACUGGUGGCUUGCUUUCGAUACGGGCAGACUGGAGGUAUGCAGGGGGAGAACGGAAUUCCUGGUGUAGCGGUGAAAUGCGCAGAUAUCUGGAGGAAUACCGGUGGCGAAGGCGGCAUCCUGGACCGACAUUGACGCUGAGGAGCGAAAGCUAGGGGAGCAAACGGGG